AUGAUUUACCAUGGAGCUAAGGAACUUGGGAGCCCCAUACCCACCUACCAUCCUCUCCCCAAGGCCAACCAACACAUUGUAAAAGAAGAUGGCACCUAACCAUCUCAAGGGUCUCCAGAAGCUAUGCAGCUAAAGGAGAUCUCCUUGCUGAACAGGGCCAGCCUGGUGAUGGACAAUAUGAUUGGCUCAGUGACCUUUCUCUCACCGAAGGGUGUUCUAAAAUAUACUGCUUCCUGUGUGUUGUCAGUUGUAGUGUGGGCCACUGGUGGGCUAUUCUCUGUUGUAGGUACACUUUGUUAUGCAGAACUGGGAACCACUAUCACCAAGUCAGGGGCUAGUUAUACUUAUAUUCUAGAGACCUCUGGGAGCUUCAUUGCCUUUAUCCAUCUGUGGGUCUCACUUCUAAUUGUUGAAUCCACCAGUCAGGCCAUCAUCACCGUCACCUUUAUCAAGUAUAUCAUCAAACCCUCCUUCCCCACCUGUGAUCCUCCAUAUGUGGCAUGCCAUCUCCUCUCUGCUACCUGCAUAUAUCUGGUGAUAUUUGUGAACUGUGCCUAUGUCAAAUGGGCGCAUGAGUACAAGACACAUUCAUGUAUGCCAAGGUCCUGGCACUCAUUGCCAUCAUUAUCAUGGGCCUUGUUAAACUGUGCCGGGGACACAAUGAGCACUUUCAGGACACCUUUACAGGUUCCUCGUGGAAUAUGGGAGACCUCUCUCUUGUCCUGUACUCUGCCUUUUUCUCUUACUCAGGUUGGGGCACCUUUAAUUUUGUAACAGAAGAAAUCAAAAACUCAGAAAGGAAUUUGCCCUUGGCCAUUGGGAUUUCUAUGCCCAUUGUGACACUCAUCUACAUCAUGACAAAUGUGGCCUAACAGUGUGGAAUGUUCAGAAUGUACAGAAGAAUGAUGCUAUGGUUGUGACACUGGAUGAGCAAACAUUUGGCAUGUGCAGUUGGACCAUCCCCAUUACUGUUGUUCUGUCCUGAUUUGGGAGCCUAAAUGCAUCUUUGCUUCAUCAAGGUAGUUUUUCGUGGGCUCUAGUGAGGGCCACCUUCUGAACCUUCUGUCCAUGAUCCACAUUGAGUACAUUACUGUUCAAUUGCACCGUGACACUUAUCUACUUCCUCAUGAAGGAUGUUUUACUGCUCAUCAACUACUUCAGCUUUAGCUACUGGCUCUUUGUGGGCUUGUCUAUUGUCGGACAGUUCUAUUUUCACAGGAAAGAGCCUGAUUGGCCUUGACCUCUCAAGCUGAGCCUCUUUUUUCCCCAUCGUGUUCUGCGUAUGCUCCUUGUUUCUCGUGGCUGUACCCCUCUCCAAUGAUACCAUCAAUCCCCUCAUUGGCAUUGGGAUUGCCCUCUCUGGAGUCCCUGUCUACUUCAUGGGUGUUUAUUUGCCAGAGUCCUGGAGGCCACUCUUGCUUAGGAAUGUUAUGGCUACUGUCACCAGAGUAACCCAGAAGCUUUACGUAUUGACUGAACUAGAUGUAGCUGAAAAGAAAAAUGUUGAGAGGAAAACUGACUAGAAGUUGGAGAUGACAUUCCCUGGAGCUCAGGAGGCUGUGACCACAGCCACCAAAGACCAGUUCCCUAAACCUUCUGAAUUAAAAGAGCCUCUUGGCCCACAUUCUGUAAGGGGGCUCAGGGCCAAUGCUCUCUCAUUGGUAAGCUAUGGGAACAUACCAAUCAGGCCAGCCUGAAGAAGGGAACUUCAGUGGGAGGGGAGGUUGGGGCAGGGCAUUGAUUUAGUUUUAUUUCUGAUGAGUAGAUAAAGCCCUGAAGGAAUAUUAGACUGGAAGCUCUGGCUCUUGAUUCACAGCUCUUUGUAGUUUAAACUGGGAGUCUACAGUGGGGCUCCUUCAUGGGAAGUUUUCCUCUGACCAAGUCCAGCUACUUGAUUUUUAGAGGUCUGAAAUGCUACCAUUUCUUCCUAUGGUUCAAAAUUCUUCCUUGAGGAGAGUGUUGCAUUCCCUUCUUGUUUGUUGGGUAGCAUGAACAGCAAGGUGUUAUUUAACUGACAUGGGAUCAAUGUGUGCCUCCUUUCCUGAAUUCCCAAGAGGAACAA